rnacentral:lncRNA from 1 species
CUUUUCCCAGACACAGUGUGACGGAGGCUACUUUUUCUCUUGAUGCCAUUCAAGAGGAGACAAACAAGGACAGGGUAAAUAAUUCACUUUAAUGAAUAACUCAUCGGCUGUGCUAUCGGUUUGUGUCUUUAAAUAGUUUUGGAGCCUUAUGCAAUUCUGCCUUGAAACUGUUUGCCGUGUGCGUGAGCAAUGUGCAGCAAUUCUGCGCAUAAAAACUUUAAAUUUUGCCCAAAAACAAAAACCUUGCAUUCUGACUGCGUGCGAGGGUAAAGGAGGAAAUAUCACAAUGAUUCGUCAGCACUCUGUUGCUUGUUGAGAGCCACUGAAAAAUGUUGGUGUAUUUAUUUUAGCAUUAAAUAUUCAUCACUGAGCAAGCAAAAAACGGUGUAGAAGAUGGGGGAAAAUGUUGCAAUUACUUAUUUAGUUUACAGUUAGACACUUGAUUGACUCCUGAAAACACAUCUCCCAAAACAGUUAUCAAAUUUUGAUACAAAUGAGCUCAGACCUCAAACACCAGGGGCUGGGUCCACGUCCUGGCAGGCUUUAGCUGGCGCCAUGACAACACAAUAACAAGCAGGUCAAACUGGGCAGUUUCGCCUCAAGAGCACAAAAGAAAAACUGUCUAUUGCAACAUAUUACAAGCAAAAUGAUCCACCCAGCAAAGGGCAAGGGUGUGUUUUUGAUCUCAAAGAGAAUAAGAGUUCAGAUGGUUGUAACGGUGCUGGAGGAAAAAAGUUGUCUCAGGUCAAGCUCCAGUGCUUCAGCGCAUUUGGGUAAAAAAAAAUCACACAGAUAAAAACUUUGAAAAUACCUUUCAUAUGCUGGUGUCUUUCUCGCUCUAAAGACAAUGAGCCGACAAGUAACAGAGUGUUUCAUCACACAGCUGGAUUUUUGCAAAAACUGGAGAUCUCCAAAAGUCUCUGGCUUCAAGACUACAGCGAGAUUUCAGAUGGAAAUUUACACCAACUUUUGGGUUGACAAACUACAACAACUUUGGGGAGAAUUUUUUCUUUAUCAUAAUGAUUAAAACAAUUUAACAGUAAAAUAAUCUCCAUUCCUCUACACAUUAAUUAUCCCUCUCCUACGUUCACACUGCAGGUUAUGAUGCACGAUUUGGAUUUUUUGUUAAAUCCGAUCUCUUUGUGCGGUUGUUCACAUUACAACAAUGAAUGCGGCAUCUAAUGUGAACAGAAUGCGUCCGUGAGGUGACCCACAUGUGCACAAAGCGUCACAUAUUGAUGACGUUGGAUGAACACGACCUGAGCGUCCACACUGCAGUCACAUUGGAUACAUGUCUGAUUUAUAUCCACAUACAAAAGAGGCCUCGGUUGGAUUUGAAAAAAUCACAAUUGCACUGUUCACACUUACAUGAAAAAGUCAGAUAUGUGUCACAUAUGGUUAAAAAAUUUGAAUUGACCUGCAGUGUGAACAUAGCCUAAGAGCAGGCCUCACUUUGUGUUCAAUAUUUAAUUAUUCAUUUAAAAGUUCAAGUCCUGGGAACUGAAGCCAAAGCGAAGGGCUAUGAACUGCCGUACCCCAAGUGUCCACUUGAGGGUGGCUGAAGAGGCUUAAGAAACCACGUACACACCAAUUAAAAAAAAAAGCCUCUCUCAUUAUACACUAUACAGGGGGUGAUGUUUUUGGAACAAAGUUGCUUCAAAGAUACCAAGGUUAUUAGAGGAACAAGCUAAGGAAGCUGACUCAGAAUUUCUACCAAAUCCAGAACGGCUCCGAUCCAGAACGGUGGUGAUUCCUGCCAUACACCAAUUCCUACCAGAUCCGUUUGUGAGAUGAAUUUCGUGGUGGAUUAUGUACAGCAGUUAUCACGAGAACUCACAAGAGCCUGCGGAUUCACGUGCAAACACGUGAUAACGAGUUGUCUCUUAGCCACAGAGGCAAACCAUAUAAGCAGUAGAUUGUGUCCUUCCAGAGGAGGAAAUCUACUUCUAGAAUUCUAAAAUCAGCAUCUCCUCAUACAUGGUGUCAGCGGGUGAAAUGCUGUCUAAAAACUUGUUCGUCUCCGCCCGUGAAACAAGAUCCACAUGAAACACGAAAUGUUAAGUUUUGAAAAGAAGCCAGAUGUUUUAUUUUGUGUUUGUGCCUGACUUCCUUUCCAUCGGUGCUGAAUAUAUCCGGCACGCUCCAGCGUCCGGAAAAAAUAAAACUCUUGCGAUCAGCUGCGGAGUCCGGUGACCAGCUGUGGAAUGGAAAGAAGCCGGUAAAUUGUAAUUGACUUGAAUUGUUAUGAUCAGCUAUGAUGGGCGGAUAUGGCCCUUUCAUUGCCAUUCCAGAUGCGGUGGAAAUUGGGGGCGAAGGUCUGCCUCAUCUUGAACUGUUUGCUCGCUGUUAGGUGGACCAAAAGUAAGAUUGAAUUAGCUUUUCUAAUAUGGCGACCUCCGCUAAUGAGCCUCCUAUUUCCACCCCAAAAACUAAUGGGUGAAGUCCCAAAGGCUGCUUCCAUGUGUUAUAUAUUCUGUUAUCUUAACAUGGGUGUUAAUAGGGUCUCCUUGAUUUUAGAGUCUCCAUCAAGUGGACACUUAAUGAACUGCCGUUUCAUAUUUUCACAUUAGAGUUACGACUUUGGAAAGAAGCAAAAUCUGGUUGUUGUUGUUGUUGUUGUUGUUGCAAAAAGGACAAAAACAUCAUCCCCUGUGUAAAAGGUUGCUGCCUCAUUUCUCGAGACAAAACCCACCAAGGUCGCAGACUUCUGUCAGAGAGAUUAGUACUUUCAGCCUCUUUCCUGUAAGACUUUUGCCGAGUUUAUUUUUGGGUGUCCUGCUACCUCCGGUCUCUGAAGUGAAAGAAAUGAAAAAUGAAUGCUUUGGUGGAAAACUAAAUGCCUUCAAAGGAUGUGCAAAAUGUUUUCAAUGUCAUAAAUUUCAAAAACUGGAUUGAAUUCCUGCUCCUACUUAAAACCAAAGAGAGGAAGCAAAUUACAAAAACUGCUCAUGUGGAUAUAAGUUAAUUUGUUCAAACAUCUGCACAAGUUACAGAGUUCACAUAAAAACUUCAUUUCCUUCUCGAACAAAAGGUGAAAGAGAAAAUUGUUUUCAGGGUCUUGGAGUUCACCAGGAAAAGAAAACAAGCCAAGAGGGGAUUCAAUUUACCUUUUCCAUCAGGAAGUCUGUGUUUAUCCAGGCACAAGAAGAGAGGACAGGCUCCUGCCGUCACAACUCUGGUGGACGGUGAACAUGCAUUUACAGCAGAUUCAUCGUUGCAUCAUUUCCUUUAACACAGACGGGCUCAGUGUCAGGGGGAGAUGGGGGUCUAUUAUGCUUUGACAUUUGGAGACAAGAACAACAACAAAAAGGACUUCAUACACUGAAGAGGGCUCACCGGGUCGAUGAACACAGAAACCAAUAUUUUUUGUUCUCAGAUUCAAUCGGGGGAUUUUUAUGUGGCUCGGUUGGCUGUCAACAAACAAUUUCUCAUUUCUUCGACCGCUGUGAUCUCUCUUUCCUCCCUUUCUUUUACUUCUCUCCACUCACAUAUCGAGUACAACAUAAGAAAUAAAUAUGUUGUGUAAAAACCCAGGUGAGUAAGAAAUGGGUGGUUGUUAAUGGAUUUUGGGGGCGCUGGUGUAAAGCAGAACCAGACUGUGUUGACAUUGUGUAGUUGUUUAACAUGCUGGUGUGUGCACGAAGCUGUGUGAUUGCAUUAGUAGCUCUGGGAUUCAGCUAAGCUGCAGACACUGUAUAAACAAUAAAUGACGAGUCAUUAUUUCUCAUGUGGGGCUUUUAUUUGAGCACAUAAUUUAAUAUUUGAUGAUCUUUUUCAACCCGAACUGGAAGUUAUGAUGAACGUGCAUGACUAAGUAACCAUACAGCUACAUUAACAUUAUUCACACGCAUGACAUUUGAAAUAAAUGUACACAGGAAGCAAUUUAAAUUAUUGAGAUGACAUAAAUCAAGAUAUCCCUUUUUAAACAGCGGGGAUCGCCCUUCAUCUUUGGCCUCACAUCCCAAUGUCAAUACCACUGUUUCAAUGCAGCUGGAAGCUUAAUGGGCAAGUAUAAGGAAGUAGUGGACACCAUAAAGGUAAAAAAAAAAAAAAAAAACUAUACCAUGUUAUGGACAACCUAAACAAAAAUCAGCAGUGUUACAGAUAGUCUAUUGGACACUGUAAAAGGCACCACGAUGGGCAAUGCCAGCAACAAUGCAACGAAUAAAAGGAAAUGUAGCAGAUAAUAUAUGAGACACAUUAAAGGAUGAUGAAAUAUACAUUAGCGAUGAUUACAUGUGCAAAAUUUCUUGAUCCGAUGAACAUUUGAGGAAUCUGAAAAUCCGAAUCCACUGUUUGUACGGGUGCAAAAUCAAACUAGAAAAGCACUCGGAGAGCGCAGACCUCCGCCAAGCAGCUCAUGUCCCCCCUUAAACAAGAGAUGUCCUGGCCAGGGUUCGAAUCCAGGACCUUCUGGUUAUGAGGCGACAGCAAAAACCACUACACCACUGUGCCACCUAUCUACACCACUGUACCGCCCAUUGGUUAUCUUUCAGCAUUGAAAUUUCAACGACACCCUUAUUUUUGUGUGCUCUGGAUCCCAGUAUCCAGAAUUUUGUCUGGAUCACCACCAAUAUUUAAUGGGAUCCUCCUGGGGCUGAGACGCACCUCUGGUGAAAAUUUCAGGUCAAUCCAUCUGUUACUUUCUCCGUAAAGUUGCUACAAGACAAACAAACAUACAAACCAACGGUACCGAAAACAUAACCUCCUUUAUUCAGAUUAGAAGCAUUUGGACAUGUGCAGAGUUGUCUAAUUUCACUAAAACAACCGCAGAAGAAAAGUUGUAUUUAGACCUGUCCUGUCAACAAACCAACAAAUGCAAUAGUGACUCACUUCAUCUCAGAAUGAACCUAAACCAGGUUCUGAGAGCAGCUGUAUUGCUCAUGGCAUACAUGAUCAUCAUCCAGCAAGAAAGUUGUGUUAGACACACACCAAUCGCUCUUGGAUCCUGCCAUGUUUACAUCUUGUCACUAACGGCGGAAGUGUGCAGUCAGGUUAAUUUUGCCCUGACAGAGUGUCACAAUUGCAAUAAGUGUUUACAUGGAUGUGGUUCUGAACAACAAUCGGCAUAAAACACUUCUAACAAUCCAAAUACAAUUUCUUUCCGAUUAAGUCAAAUUGGAUCCAAAUCUUCCGAUCGGCAUGUUUACAUGAUGCAUCUUUAUUCUGAAUAGGUCUUUAUUCCGAUUAUUUGUGCCCAUGUAAACACAGCUGUUGUUAUGGACAAUGUCAGUGAAAAUGUAAAGGACUAUGUAACAGACAAGGUCGAGCAUUACAGCAUUACUAGCAAGGUUAUGUCAACUUAAGAGCUGGUUAUACUUCGAUUUUUUUGUCUGUUCAAUGUCCUUUACUCUCCUUUUAUUUACUUCAGUUACAUUUCAGUCAGUCAGAAGUACCUCAUGCUUUCAACAAGAUCAAAUCAAUUCUCUCAAUGAGACUUGAAAUGGAGUAAUCCAGGUAUAAGGCUGUAAUGUUCUUGUUUUCAUGUUCUCAUAACACGGUGCUCUUUGGCUUUAUUCAGUUCUAGGAAAUGUGAAUAACAGUGUAUGAAGACUAAUGUUAAACAUCCCUAAUAAUCAUUAUCUCCAUGGGUUUUCAUGUAAGACUUCAUCCACUAGCUUUCUAUCUGCAGGUUUCUAAUCAGGUGAUAGAGCUGAAUAUUUUACCAUGCCAGAGAAAGGCUAGAUCCCACAUUCAUCUCCUGUGCUUUUAUUUGCCAUUAAAUCAAACAACAAAAUAGAUUUUUCUGGGCCCAGUCAUUUGCAGAUGCAAAUUCAGCUGCUAAAACAGAUGCUUGAAUUAGCAUAGAGAGACCUGCACAUGCAAACGCCUGUGUGUAUGCUGUGAUUACCAAUAUUGACUUUGUAUUUUUAUGUGUCCCUUAUAUCAGAUACAAGCAGAACCAAGGCUGUUCUCUAUAGCUCUCUGUGGACCGAGGCACUGACCCUAAUAGCCUCUAAAAUAGCAACUGGUUGGCUCCUUGGACUAGCCUUGACCACAUUCAGAGGCUGUGAUUCCUCAAGCUGUCACUUCAAUGAUUUGUGGUCCUGUUUCUACAAUAAGCCGUUCGCCAUUGCACAUGUGUGUCAGGUAGUUGAAUUUGUUGUUUUUCCGCAUUCAUAGCCUCUUAUCUCAACUCCAACUCUGUCACAUUGUUGCCGAAAAUUGAGGGCAAUAAUGUCCUCUCUCUUUUUUUGCCUUUGAAUUUUUAACAAAUGCCAGAGAAACUUGCCUAAACUUGAUUUUGUAUUGAUUAGAGUCACCUGAAAUCACCCCCCUUGGCUGCAUCCUGCCAAAAAAUACCUAAUUUGGAAAAGGGGAAAGAUUAAAUUAUGAAAGUGUGAACGUACCACCUAAGGUCAAAGCAUGCGGAGGUAAUUCAUCACUGUCAUUUCAACAUCAACACCUUUCAAGCAGGUCAAAAAAGCUUCCUCUGAUUAAACGUCAAGUAGAGCUGGUGAUGCCAGGGUGAAUCAGACUAGUGAAGCAUUGUUGGCAUGCAAGAGACUUCCUUUUUGCACUCUGCUAAGCAACAUGAAACUCCAAGAAGUCCUAGGAGAAGCAUUUAAUUAUAAUGAGGUUAUAUCACUCAAGGCAUUUAUGCAUCCUCUUGCUGAGAGCCUUUUUUGCACGAAAAAAAGAGGGCUGCAACCUUGAGAAUGUCCCUGGUCUUUUCUUUCUGGGAAUUACUGAUAAAAAUGCUCUAUUUCAAUACAGAAAUACCACCAAACAUGGUCUUUCAGAACCAAGCAGGCACCUGGUUUUUUAACCAAAGUGGAUGAAUGUGCUGGGCAAAGCUACAUACAGUAUUGAUGCCACAACAGUUUUGCUCGAUUGCAAUAGAUCAUUGAAUGUAAAACCAAUUACAUCCAGUUUAGAGCCUUUAAGCUCUACUGAGGGUCAUGUACACCGAGAAAUGUAGUUAUUCAUAUACAAAUAUGUGCGUCCUGGUUUCUAAUUUCUGCUUCUUAUUCAUGCAUGUGCCCAUGAGGUUUGUUUUACAACCAGUACAGGCUUAUAACUAUGAAUCUCUAACAUUCCUGUGCAGAUACAGCAAAUCUACAUCAGUUUAUAGCUGCCCGAACAACCUCCUCUAUACUGUUUCGCCAUGUAACCCACCCAUUAAUGGAUACCAAGCAUCCAUGUUUAUGUGAGAUCUGAGAGUUGUUGGAUCCAGGUCAUGUUUGUUCUGAUGUUUGGCCUUGUAGUAAUGCUGUUUUAGUUCUUUCCAGUGUGACCUGACUGGCUUUAAGGUACUCGUUGGGAAUCACCAUCCUGUAUCCUGCUCUUUAAAGUCUUGAUUUUAACAUUCAUGACCAAAAGUCUAAAUCAGUUUCACAAAGACACUUGUUGCUAUUGCCAUGUUUGUUUUGCUCAUGAGUCUCGUGGCUGCGGCCGUGUAUGCACAGGCAACUGCAUUUCACCUUUUAUCGUUUCAAGUAUUCCAUUAUUGAUUUGAGGUGAAACCCCUAAAACCCAGCUUUUUCAUUCCAGCUGGUUCACACCAAUACUGACCAUAAUACCCCCAAAAAACGGCACAAAAUUCACAUCACACCAAAGGUCAUUGAGGUGCUUUCUGCUGACACACUCCUACACACAAUGAGCAGACGGAGAAGGAAGCUCACACUAUCUCUAAAAGUGAGAUAAUGAGUCAGCACCAAGCCCUGAAGCCCAAGGGUGUACCAGCUCCUCACACCCAGUCCAAAUCAGAGCCAAUCAGCUACACACACUUGACCCUGCAAUGUCAUGAUACUCUCACCAAACUCGAGGACUGCUGCAAAAGCCAAGAGUCAAUUUGUAAUAACACGUUUUCACAGGAAAAUUAGACAUGUUUACAGACCAGAAUAAAAAAACAGAUUUGGUCUGGAUAGUGGAGUUUUUAUCUUAACAGACUGGACAGGGGGGCUUUUUCCCCCUCUUCAUUUAAGAUUAAAAAUUCCUUACACACUAGAGGUAUUUUUGGAUAUUACUCCAUCAUAUAUACUUGACAAUGCAGAAACUUUUAAAAAUGUUGAAAAAAAUUGCACUUCUGCUGAGUACUUAAAUUGUCUUUUUUAAACUAUAUAUACUGGCAAAGUGUGAUGUAACUUUUCUUAUUAACAUGCAGUUAAACCAAACAGUACCAAAGAGAUGUAUAAAAACCAGUAGCCUUCCAUCUGGAUGCAUGUGCAACAUGUAAAAAAACAAUUGCCAUGUGUAAAAACAUCAGUGUUUCCCCAAACUUUUGAUUGUGGCAAGGUGUUAUCAAUCUAUGAAUAGACAGGGCCAAGAGUUAUGCAUAAAUUCGCAAAGUAAGGAUUGUAGGUGAAUGACUAACAGGUGGAUGCAAUGUGAAAUUUGCCAGAAGGCUUAAUUCUACUUCUUUGUCUUUUUUAAAACUGGCUGAGAUGUUUGUAGUCGUUUGUUAGCAUUUCUAAAGUAACCAUAAUCAUCAUUUGACUAAAAAACUCCUCUUGAGAAGCAAAUGAAAACUGCCGGCAGAUUUUAUACAUAAAUAAUAUGACUAUGACUAUGUUAAAAUCUCAACUAUUACGAACAUUAGCCAUUUUUUCUGCGAGGCCAUUGUCAACCUUAAUAAUCCUAAAAAAUAAUAGCAGCUUUAUUAUCAUAUUAUUACUAUGACUAUAGUAAUUACUAUGAUGCACCUUAUCUAUUUAUUAUCACUGCAGUACUGUAACUCUGGCACUUUUUAUGUACUUAUGUACUAAGUGUGAUAAAUAAAGUGUGAACCUAUUCUCGCCAACAAGGAGCCAAGCUUGUAAUCUCUUUGUAUGACAUUAAAUGGCAAUAACAUCUUUAUUGAAAAUACUGCAAAAUAAGUAUUGCUUCAGUCUUCAGGUCUCAUAAAUGUAUUUUCCAUGAGCAGAUGGCUAUUUGGCUUGACAGCUUGAAUACUAUUAAUGGGCAGAAAGAUAUGUCUGACGUGCAAGACUAAUGCGUUGAUGUUAAAAAUCAUGGACCAUGACACGUCAGGGUAUUUCCAUUUAUGAGAGGUUGUAAAAAAUGAAAGUAAAAACCUCAGGCUGGAAGCAGAUAUUAGAAAAAGAUGAUUUACAAAAAGAGAAAAAGGUUUGGUUCAACUGAGUUUAGUAAAAGCACUUCAAACUAUCUUAACUUGGCCUGACACCGGAUGGAUGUCAUUGAGAGUAUGUGUUUUAAUCUUUAUUCAUGGUGGACAUUUGACAUGACUUGACAGCUAUAAUGAGGCUUGCGAUCAAGUUUAACAGAUACGUGAGACUUGGUAGUGAAAUACACUUACUUCACUUACAAAAGUUCACCUCCAUUUGGAAACUCCCGCCUCCUCUUUCCUCCAAGGUUAGGACAGCUCACCCCCGGGCAUCACUGGGAAUUGGUCCCUCAAUUUUCAACAAAGUUUGACUGAAAUGAAGGUGUGACCAAGCCAUCACUGUAACACUUCAAAGGAACAGGACCAUCAUAAAUCUUAUUAGUUAUGUCUGCGCUUCUCUUGCCAGGGCAUGUUAAAAUGUCUUUUAUGGAAAAGCCUACAGCUGAGUGAAAAAAUGCGAAUAGUGCUCUGUGAAUUGGAAUGAUAUCAGUGAGCCACUGAGGGGAUUGCAGAGGAUGGACUAUGGCUUGUCAAGCUUGUGCUACCCAGAGCCAGACUGAAAAAUGGGGAGAAUAAUUCAUCUAAUGGUAUUAGGUUGACACUGCACUGUGCUGUCAUCAGGCGUCUCCUUUGGCACCAGUAGAGACUCUGACUGUUGGCUCUCUCUGCACAUAUACACUCAAACACUCCAACAAACAAAAAUAUAUUUUUCUCAUAGUGUCCAGGAGGAGAAAACUGUAACAAUAUUUUCAUCCUAAAUCCCACUGUGCAGCCCCAUUUACUUUCCUGGUGGUGUAUUUCGGUAACCAAUCCGGGGAGUAGCAAUGCUGUAACUACAUGAAAUUAUGCAAAUUAACCAAUCACCAUAACAUAUGUAAAUCUGAUUAUUAUCUGAUCCUAAAAACAAGCUCAAAAUAGUGCAAACUGCAGCUUGAAGCUGAACUUAAAGGAACUUUAUGUUUUCGCUGAUUUUGGCACCUCUUGUGGCCAAAUGAUACAACUGAAUGUAAAAAAGAAUAGAAAUAUAAUUUUUAUUGAUUAUUAAAAUCUAAGGUCUUUUUGCUUAUUGCUUUGUUUGCUUUUGUAGCCCAUGAAAAUACAUCUGUGUUGGCUUCAGUUUGUCAGUGAGGAACUUUUGGACUGUGUUGUUUUUGGCGCCUCCUACAGACAAUUCUUUGUUCUGCUCAUGAAGAAGAAAUGUUUUUGGAUGAAAACCUAAACCUUUGGUUCCAACAGUAAAUAGUUUUACUCACUGUAAGUAAUUGCUGUUGAAAAGUAUAAAAAUUUCUUUCUAACCACUUAAAGCGCUUUCACACAAAGUCAUAUUGACCCAUUUACAACACAUUCAUACACUGACAACUAAUUCCUUUCAUUCCCAUCGACACCCCACUGGCUGGGAACAAUUUGGGGUUCAGUGUCAAGCCCUAAGGACACUUUGGUAUAUGUUAGCUGGAGCUGGGAUUAAACCAACAACCUUUCCAAUGAGAGUCAACAAAGUCUUUCUCAUUUAGCCUCAGCCGCACGAGAUACUCAGGUAUAUGGUAUAUACUGAGGUGGACCACAGAGGUAUCGUCUAUGUGUGGGAAACGCCAACAGUGCAUCCUUAAAAAACAUCAUCUCCACUAGUUGUCGCCAUGUCCUAACACCUUGAUCAGCUAAAGAUGACAGAGAUGCAAAGAUGUCAAGUAACAGGUCAAAGCCUGAUAGCACCCCUGCUGUUUAAAAAUGGUACUGCAAUUCAUUUUUUAUCUUCCCAAUUUUAAGUUGUACCUUGUAUGUGCUGAUUUUUAACUAUUAUAUAAGUGUAUCUUGUUUUUACCGUGGUUGCUGAGUCAUGCAUCCACAUUGGUAAAAGUAUAAGGUAGACAAAAAAAGUUACUAAUAGUCCCAACAACAUCACUUCCUCUUUUUGUCUCAGCGCCAAAAUACCCGCUGUGACUCAGUAUCACGACUCUUGAGUCAACACUUUCUUUAUAAGGGCUGUCUCCACAUUACUUUUGUCUGCAUGAGUUGUCAGUAAGUGUUACCUUAAAUGACAGCUGGAUCAGAAAAUGCCAAGCACACACCUUUAGAAGUACAACAAAGAUGUUUCAUCUUCAAAACCCAGCUGGAUCAAAUAUUCUGAAUUGAUGUAUCUUCAAUGGAGCCUCAGCGGGUAUCAGGAAGCAUUAACUUUUUAAGGGAUAAUCCAACCUCAGGUACUCUAACACUGUUAGUUAUCAUCAGUCUGAACAACUUCUGUGAAGAUUGUUUGUACGGUGCACCUGAUUUCCCUGAAACACUCGAGAUUUCUCUUUCAGUCAUUGAUUUCUGUUCCCCUUCGAAGCUUUCAACAAACCCUGGAAAUGAAGAUGCUACUGGCAUGUAAAUAUAGCAAGCCUUUCAAUUAGCAGAUGCACAUUGGUGCUCAUCAGUAAUUGUCAUGCCAUCUCUUUAAAGUGCUGUUCAGACACCUCUUACAAUCUUCUCCUCCGUAGCAAGAAAAAGAGGAUAAAUCUGAUCUAUCUGACUUUGCCAUUAGUAAUUGUUUCCAUUGAAGAUUGAUUUUCAACGCCUUAACACAUCCAAGUUACGGCUGAUUUAGCAGGAAAACAUCGAUACUCCUUGGAGAAGGCCAAGAUGUUCCCAGAGUUGAAUGCAUUGGAGCUUCAUUGCAGUCCACAUACUCAGAAAAAAAAAAAAAAAAAAAAAAAACUACUUUAAUUUUUGCUUCAGGGUCAAAAACAUUUUUACUUUCCCUCCAUGCAAAGUUCAAGAGGCUAACCACUGCCCUCUUCUUGUUACACCAAACAACUUUUCCUAAACUGAGGGUUCAAACCCAAAUCUGGUAAUCAAUCUGUUUUCAUUGGGUUUCGAGAUGCACUCAGGUUUUAUUGGGUUUGUUAGAAUAAGAUGUCAACAAUUGAAUGGAUUAUUCCUCCUGGGUGACUCAAUUCACAACCUCUUUAUAGGCUGAGGGUCCCACAUUUAUUUACAGGUUGUGCUAAGUUAACUUAAUCAUUAAAAACUUUAAAAAACUGUCAAAAGUCUGACUCCCCUCCCAUUGCAAUGGAGAGUCACCACAAUCCGUCAUGUGAAAAAUUCUAUCCAAAAACCUUAUAUCCAUAAAGAACCAAAAAUUAACUUCAGCUUUGCAAAGUCUUGCUCAAGUUGUCCGUGAUCCAUCUUGCCAUGUAAAAGCAAGGUUUAGAGCCUUCUUUCGCCAGUUGACCAUCUAUGCAUUUAUGCUCUAUAUUCAGGGAAUUCUUUGUCAAUGAUCUAGAUUAUUUGGCUCUGCAAGAACCAGCUCUUUUAGCUCCCAAAAAGCUCUUCAUAGUUGGCUUACAGGAGUUGGCUCAUUCAGCCUGGCUAAAGAAUUGCAUUCCUGCAGUGAAAUCAUUAGUUUUCCUUAUCAUUAGUAUAAUAUUAUGAUACAUGUGAGUAUUUUGGGGAUUCAUGGUGCACCUUUAAAAUCCAGGUCACAGAGACAUCAACUUUUUAUUUUUAGUCUUGAACCAGAAAAGUUUGGAAACCCCUGCUGCAAACUGUCAAAAUGGCAUGUCCCCAAAACCCAUGUAAACGAAAGACAGAGGACAAGACCAGAGAAAUGACAAGGAGACUUUAUGAACAUACGUUUAAAAAAAAAAAUUAAGAACGAAAGAACACGCAGAUUCAUCUACAGCAAAGUAAGACAGUCAAAUACAGCGUAGGCACUGAUGACUUUAAUUUAACCUAUCUUAAAUGUGUAAGUCUGUUAGCUUGUGCAGGUAAGAGAGCUAAGGUUUGUGCUCAGGGGAUAGGAGAAGUGAGGCAAGAGCAGAAAACCUGUCAGCUGUUUAUGAGACAUCCCUAUCAGAUACUUAGACUAUCUCAACCAGCCCUUUUUUCAAAGUGAAAGGAUAAUAGAUCUGGAGUCAUAUAAACUGGUUUCAGCUGUUUGAAAUCUCAUAUUUCUGGCUGUUACCCAAAAUCCGUGUGUCUGAAAGUAGACUGAACAUCAACUUGAUCUCUUCCUUUAGACUUCCUUCCUCUUCACUAUGGCUGUUUGGUAUUUCUUAUCCAACACUGUCUGUCAGUAUUGAGUUCCUACACUUUCUUUUUGCAAACAUAACGUGCUUGAACUUUUUUCCUUGGGGAAGCAACUUCCUCCGAACCCAGCCCUCAUGUUUCACAUUCCAUCCUCAGAAAUUAUAGAACUAGAAUAAACAGAAAAUGAGGCACAGCAUUUGCAGAGCUGUUCAGGUUAAAUUCACAGCAGUUAACCUUGCUUGAAGGUUCCUGAGUCCCAUCUCGUUUUAAUAACUUUAUCCUGUCAGUUUUCUAGGGCCAGCUAGCAAGACUCAGACUGCCCUUUUUUAUUCUCUGAGCAUCCUUGCCUUUAUUUUGCAGGACAGUUGAAGAAUGACAGGAAAUAUGGCUAGAAAAGUGUGGGGUAGAUGUGCAUCAAAGGGCCAAAGCUAGGAGUUGAACCUGCAGCCUCUGUUCUACCAAUCCAGCCAUCAAGGCACCCCACACAGUGUAUUCUUGUUCCACAGUCAUCAAUGCAGACAGCUUGUCUUGGUCUCAGGGUUUGUGUAGAGCUGCACAAGCUUCCCCCUCAGUGUCUGUAUGAGAUGUGCCAAAAUCAAGUGUUUUUUUUCUCUGCCUUCUGCCUUUGUUGACAGGACAGUGAAAAACAGACAAGAAAUGUGGAAAAAAGAGAGAGAGGGGAGAGGGGCAUGCAUCAAAUGGGUGCAAGUCAAGAGUUGAAGCAGAGAUUUUCCCUCGAAGCACAGGGCACUUGCUAUAUUGACCAAGAUAAAGUCAACCUUGUUUGGCAGUCAGAAAUAAUAGAUUAGCAUCAUCAGAUUUUCAGGCAAAAAAUUUUGGAUCAAGUCUCGUGUGAAACCCGAAUGACAGUGGCAAGCAAUAACCUACCCCAAGGCAGACUUCCUGAACUUAACCAUGUGUUUUUUUGUGUAAGUCUAACCAAAACAGACAGUUUGACAUUCUCUAAAUGUUAAACAGAUGCUAACUUGGACUGUACGGCACACAACAAAGCCAUUUUUGGCAUCUUAAUGAAAUGCCCAAGGUUUGUGACAUUGCAUCACAAAUAGACGACCUUAAAUAGCACGAUGGUAGACUGGGGUUAAUAGGGGGCUACUGGCAUGACAUUUUUGUUCUCCAGGCACUUAUUCCCUAGUUAGAAAGUGUCACGUUUUCAACUUAGUAGAUUCACACAGUAAUUGAAAUAAGACAAAUAAGGGGACUGACACAAAUGUCUUUCCUGAUGGGCUAAGCAAGGCACAUAAUCAACAGCUGCUUUGUUUUAAGGCAAUAUGGACUGAGCAAAACCACAUAUGCUGCUUAGCAAGACUUCAUUUUUCAGUGGUGCAACAGUGUGUUACUACAAGCUGUUUUUUGUAUGUGUCGAGUAGGUGAACCUGCAACAUACAGAAGUGUUUCAAUGCGAUUUUUGGUGUUAUCAGAAUGAAGAAAAAGGUAAAUUCAUUCACAAGGCAUCAGAUAGUGAAUAUGAAUUAUAAUUUACAUCUUGAUCUAAAAUUGUCUGGUAAGAUAGGAUCUGGUCUAAUACAAUACAGGAUAACACAAGACUAUAUUCAUCAGGAUAGGACACUACAUAAUGCUACUGGUUAACAAAUUAAUGACAUGACAUAACACAAUAAGAUAACAAGUGAUACAACUAAUGCAACAUUUUGGGAUAGAAAAUAGUAUAAAAAACAUUUUAACGUACAAUUUGAUACGAUGUAUGAUACAAAACGAUAUAAAUGAUACAAUCAGAAUGAUAGAAAACUGUGGAAAACCUUGGAAAAAGUUUAGUACAUGAUACUUUACAAGCAAGUAUGAUAUAGUACAAUACAAUAAGAUACAACAUGAUAUGAUAAUGUUUAAAAAGGUACAAUACAAAACAAAGUGAUAGCAAACAGUGGAAUACAAUGUGAAAGGAUAAAUUUUGAUACAACAGAACAGUAUGACAGAUUUAAUACAUUUUGAUGCAAUAUAAUAACAACAGGAUAUGAUGUGUUAUGAUACGAUACAAUUUGAUAAUGAUACAAUUUAAUAUGUUAUAAUGAUACAAUAUGAUACAAUACAUACAAUGCUAUUUUGAUAUGAUUUGAUACAAUGUGAUAACAUUACAAUGACAAUAUGAUAAGAUACAAUGUGAUAUAAUAUGCAGAUGCAGUUUAACAGGAAACAAUGGAAAGGAUGUUAUAUAAUAAUAUACGAUACAAUAUAAUAUGACACAAUAUGAUACAAUUAAAUACAAUAUGCCCUUACAGUUGUUUUUAAACAAAAACAAAAUCCCAAACAGAGGUUAAAAACAAUACUAUUCACAUUACCUAUGUUGCACAUGAUCUACAUAAAAUAGGAUAUAAAUGUGGGAUAAAGGUGAGAAAAUUGUAAAACCAUUGUAACACUAUUUCUUCCCCUUAUGGCCUGUAAUUACUGGAAGUAUGGAAUAAAACCUUCAGAAGACCUCUGAAUAAGACAUUCAGAUUCUUCCCUGCUCUUUUUUCCACUUAAAUGAUUUGGUUCCUUAUUUUAUCCCCUUCCAGUUCAAUCUGCCGCUCUUACCGUAAAUUAACCUAAACCUACAACUGCCUUAAAACUGUUUUAUUAAUCAUGCACUGUCUUUUCUUAAAAUAAUUGCCUUCCUCACUGAUUUUUGUCUCUCUUGCACACACAUAUAUGCACAACCACAAAUUCCAGCUGAGCUAAUACAUAUUUCAUAAAUGAUAAAUCAAGAAGAUGGAUCUUCCCCGCUUCUUUUCCAAAGCUUUUCUCUACUUUAAUAAAAAAAUAUACACUAGCGUACUGAAAUACUCUCUUCCUCUGAUUGUGAGUGUUACUUCUUUAUAUGUUUAAUAAGCAGAUGCUUUCUUAAACCAAUUAAAACAUUGAACGGCAAAUUAGGGAACCAGUCGGCCAGUUAUUUGUCAUAAAGUGGCAGAUUGUCACCAAAGCCCAGACGCUUCUCGAUGUCUCUGCACGCCUUCCUACCAUUUGUUGUUGUCACUAACUGUUCAAUUCAGACGCUUUUCCCGAGAUGCAGCCGUGCCUGUCUGACAUGUAGCGCCAGCGCAGGUGUGCAGCUGGCAACUACGCUCUAAUCCUGAAACAUCUCUGACAGAUGAAAACUUUGUGUGAUAUCUCACUAAGCGCCUCAGAGCACUAACAGCAUUUGUUUGCAUUUCAGUAGCAAUGCAAUAGGAAGUUGUGAUUGUGUUUGGGACCAUUGUGGGAGCUUCUGUGGGCAGGCAAUUUCACUGAGGACGCAGUUUGAAUAAAGAGUUUCUAGAACAGGGGAUAUGAGAUUCAUGGCCUAUAAGGACCUAACACAAAGUAAAACGUCUGCUGUGAAUGCUAAUUACACAGUGGCUGAGUUUAGAUGAGAGCUUGGGGACUAAAAGUUAACCCACAGAGAUACCUGGUAAAUAAUGACAGCUCUCUACUCCACCACUAAAGCUCCUAACAUCGAUCCACAGCUCCCAACCUAUCUGAGAAAAGUGUCCCUAGAGCGAAUAAAGUCUUGAUGUGUGGCUUAGCAUCAUGCUCAUCCACAGCUGCCGCACCUCCUCUGCACCCUGCGUCCAUCUCCAGCGGGGGGAUUCUGUAUUAGCUUUGAUGAGAGCAAAACCCCGCAGCAGUGGGGUGGGAGGAUCAUUAUGGGAGCCACGUCUUCAGCUGAAGCUGGUAGCUACAGCCCUGUCUGUGGUGUAACUGCUGACAGGAUAGAAUUAAACCCAGUUUGAGCUCUGAAAGUGAGGGCCAUGACCAGAAGAAAUUUGUACCGCAGCCUUUCAUGCAUCACAUAGGUCUAUCCUAAGGUCUGUCCUCUAAAGCAUCCUGCAUAGCAUCAGCUUUCGAAGAGCUGAAAGAAUUUGGGAGGGAAUUGCAGUUUGCUGGGUGUAAAAAUGAGCCAAUUAAGACUUUAUGUGCUUUUUGUGUAUGUGUGAGAGCAGGUUUAGUGGUCAUCAUGGGGACUUCUUCCUCAGACAGUUUAAGUUAAGAGGACAAUUUGUUUUGUGUUACUUUUAUUUACUAAACAUUACUUAUGAGAACUGACUGACAUGCAAUUGAAAAUCAGUAUUGAGCCUUUGGGCAUGUGUGUGUGGGUGUUCAGGUUUAGUGUGCCAUGUGGGGUCUACUACCUCAGACGUUUCAAGCUCAGAGGACAUUUCUCUUAUAUGUAAAUUAUCACUAUUUCUCAAGCAUUCCUUGCAAGGAAUGGUGCAUACCCACCACCAAUUGUUGGGAGUCUAACCCCUUUUCCCACUGUACUCGUGACUCAUACUUGCUCCUGAUUAUCUCCCCAAUUUCCAUCAAAUAGGGGUUCCUCAGAUUUUAUGUGCGAUAUGUGUCAUAAGACCAGGCAACCCAGCUAGUUUUACAAGAUUAACAUCUUGCUCAGCAUCAAGGUGUAUGAAUGCUACAAGAAUAAGGUGCCAUCUGGUGUUAACUGAGAAACAGAAGACUUUUGUGUACGUGUGUGUCAGGUGUGCAGGUUUAUUGGUCAAUGAGGGGACUACAUUCUCAGACACAUUCAGAAUAAGAGGACUUGUUACUUGAAUGUGACUUAUAACAUCAAUUUACCAUCACUUGUAAGGACUGGCAUGACAGCCUGUUUCGCAAGACAUUUAAAUCUGGGGAGACAUUUUUUAUUUGUGAGUGGUGACAUUUACAAGAAUUACCACUUUCUUGAGCCUCUGCUGACUCUUUGUAUAUUUGUCUGCAGGUUUAGUGAUCCUUAUGAGGACUACUUCCUCGCACAUCUCGAAUAAAGAGGACAUUUUACCUCAAUGUAAACUACAAUAUUUACAUAGCAGUACAUGUGAAGACUGAUGUGACAGCCCAGUUUGGGUUGGAGAGGCAUUUUUUUUCCCCUUUAAGUAAGUUAUUACUUUUACAAGAUUAUAUUUUACAAGAUUAAGCCUCUGCAGGCUGCCUGGCAGCUUUACAGAAACGACAAGACUCAAGUCACUGCAUCCAGCCAAGAAAUAACUCAGCAUAUAAUCCUAUAAAACCACAUCUUUACUUUGAUUUUUUCUUUUUUUGUUCAUGUGGUUGAAACAAAGAAAAUGUAAUAUAUUAAUUAGCCAUUUUAGAGGUGCUGAGUUGACAAUUUGCUGGCUGUGGCAUCAUAUUAAACAGCAGAAAGACUGCUAUUGAUUUUCUAACCACAGCAUUGGCAACAAAGCCAUAAAGUACACUUUCUAAGAUCUUGAAGUAUUGUUUUAAAACCAUGUCUGCCAUGCAAGUAAAAAACGCAGUCAUGACAUUUCUCUACUUCUUGAGCCUUCAGUGAGUUUUAUAUUGCUAAAAAAAAGUAUGCAUCUAUAAUCAAACUGUUUAUAACCACAUAUUUUCUCCAAAUUGUGUGCUUGUGGACAUAAAAGUUGUAAAAUACACUUGUUUGUAUGUUAAAUAGCUUGUGCACAAUCUGUCUUGCUCUGCAAAUAAAUGUGGAAAGAAAUGGGGUGCUGUCAGAGGUGAUUCAUUCACUAGCACACUUGGAGUAGACCUAAAAUAAUAAUAGCAGAACAAGUCUGUUCUGCUAUUUAUGCAUGACCCUGGAAAUAAGCAUGUCUUUCGGCCAUCUGUCUUAGUUGACUCAUUUCAAGUCUCCCAUAUACCUGCUUCUGUCUUGCCGCCUCUCUCCCUAAUUCACUAUUUCUUCUCGAUGAUGUCCAAGGCGCCUGAUGCAAUGGCUGGGGCGAAAUGAUUUGCAGAGGCUGAGUACCUUUUUUUUUUUUUUGCAUGGCAGUCUGAUACCCUGGGGUUACAUGCAAAGGAAAUUGGAUGUAGAGGGAAUGAGAGCAGGCUGUAUGAAGUCAUAUUUUACUAUCCAUCAGUUGGAAAGAGGUGGGGUAUCACUUAUUACAGGGAGCUGUGAACACAGCUGAGCUGCUGUGUAACAUGACGACAGGCUGCAUGAGCUAUAAGACCUCCAACAGGGUCUCAUAUGUAGGUGGCAGUGGCUAACUGUGCAACAUACUGUGUAGGCGUGAUUCACUACCUCAACUAUGGAUCUACAUUCAUCAUAAAAAGACCUUCUUCUUCUUCUUCUUGUCAGUAUCUGUAUUCUCACUGCAUACAUCUGUGUGACCUGUGUUAGUCGAGGUUAUCUGUGAUCUCAUGUAUUCCUGUGGGAUCUGCAGCAGUAGGUAAACACAACACUGAAGGCUUACAAUGUCUGUGUGGUCUCCAUUUCUGCUGCAAAUAAAAGACAAAUCAGUGUAUUUUGCUUUGACACAAAAAUAGCUUUUGUGCUGUGGCCCACAUGGUUCCCUCAGUCAAUGCAUUAUUGAUAAUGUUUUGCUGCGAUAACACUGCAAAAGUCCAUUACAGGAUGUUGUGGGACACAAAAGAAAAAAAAAUACUGUAUUCAGAACUGAGAUGCAACCAGGCUUCAUGAUUUUUGUCUAUUGUCGAUAUCAUUGUGUGCAUUAUUUAAAAGCUGAACAGCUGUUUGCACCACCUUGCAUUCAUUUCUCCUGCUUCAUUUGUCUCUUGUUUAUGGAGGGAAAUAGCAUAUCCUCCGAAAGAAAAUGGAAGCAAAUGGAAAAAAGAUUGCAGUCUUGCUUCGGUUGUAACAGUGGUUAGUUUAUGGUAUUACAAUUCUGUCACACUCCUUAGUUCCAGGAUGCAAAUUGGACUUGCACAGCUCAGUGCUAUUAUCCUUGUAAUUUCAAUUGGGCUCAUUUAGGCAUAAACAGGCCUCAGAGAGAGAAUGAGACUGGGGAACACAGAAUUAGCUGGGAGCCAAGUCACAAAGCAUUCAGCACCUGAUUCUCAGCUAGGACAGAUGGCAGGAUUGCAGCACGAUGGCACAAACAUGCAAGAAGACAGAGUGAAAGAGGGAGAGGCAGAACAACACACAAGCGCACACACAAAUAAGCAGCCAUGUCUCUGUGUUCCCUUAGGCCUGUGGCCAAGAAUCGCAAUCUUUCACCAGGAUUAAAGUCUCUGUAUGAAACCUGGGACUGAACAUGACUGAACCCAUCAUAAGACGGUGCCAAAACAGCUGUCGGGGGCUGGUCACGGUACCGGCAGUGAGUCACAGCUCCUGUCCACAGGCCGUCUGUUGCCUUGGUGUGACGGUAAGAGAGAGAUUUUCAAUUCAGUGCCCAUCACGCUCAACCCACCAUGUUCCAAAUCCUCCUCCACCCAAACGUCAUGCACCUCUUGAGCUGUUAGACCUCCUGCGCUAAUAGCAUCCACACAGCUGACGUCCAGAGCUGGUUGCCGGUGCCUGAGGAUCACAUUGCUGUUCACAUCUUAUGCGAAUUCAUGUAUAAGCCAUACCCUGCUUACACAGGCUGGUUUCUCCCGGGCAGUUUUAAUCCAUCAGUACAUAGAUCUGUUUCCCAAUUCUUUCCAAAUCCAAGAUGACGAGCUGAUCUAAUAAAAGCAUGUGCAGACAGACGCCGGUGCUCACACAUUAUCCUCUACAUCUAAUCCUUCCUCUAAUUAGAGAUGCUGUCUUAAAACCUCGAAAAACAACAAAACAAGGAAAAAUGAAUAGAAAGCAUCAAACACCUACUGGGUAUUUUGAUUGUAUGACCAAGUCAAAUAAAUGAGCAUGUUGGUGGAUUUGUAGCUUUAAGACCUUGAUUAUACACUGCAUGUUCACCAUUGUUGUCAUAGCAGAAGCUCUAGACUGAUUUCAUUCCUUCUAGGUAGCCAAGGCUGGUUGCUAGUGAUGGGCACGGCAGUUCUUUUAGAUGUACUAAAUCACUAGAAUCAGUUCACUAAAAGGAUUCAUUCAAAAGAUUUGUUCACCAAAUAACAGAAUCAUGUAGCGUUUGGUGGGAGAAGCCUGCGACCCCGACCUCCUGAACUGAUACACAGCUAGAGUGUUUGGAUGUGUUGCUUUGGUAAACAGGUUUGUAAAAAUGAACUUGUUCAUAGGUCAUGAUGUUUUACUGUCCUAUGGUAUGCUAUUUAUCAGGUAAAUUGGGAUCAGUGAGUGAUUCGUUCACUGAACGUGAACCAUUCCCUCGCAAAUCGUUGCAAUGAUAGGAUGUUGCGGGUUUUAUGCACUACUUGUUACAUGCUGUGUCCUAUUGUUUUUUAGUUUUUGUGGUGGCAAUUGAGCAGUAAAAAAAAUAAAAUAAAAAAAAGGUAGCUUUGUCCGACAAAAAUGAUUCCAGAGAAUGUAGUUCAAUGCGUGAUUCGUUCACCAAGUGAUUCAGAUGUCGUUGCAUGCGGUCCCUCGUUCCUGGCUGCUCGACUGGCAAUGCUGUUUCUCACUUCAGCUCAACUGAAGUGAGAAACAAACGAAUCACUCGAGGAAGUGACUCAGUUCAGUACAUUCACUUAAAAGAUUUGGUUCUUUUGAAUGAAUCAUUCGCGAAUGAAACAACAUUACUGGUUUUAUGUUCGUACCUCAGGGAGGUCGACAGAGAAAUUAGACUAUUUUUCAAGCAGGCUGACCUGCAAUGACAGUGGCACCAAACUCACUAUAAAUAUUUGCUAGGCAAAAAUACAUCUUGUUAAGCAACAUAUGCACACAAAAAAUGUUAAUUGAUCGAACAAGUUCUAUCAAGAUGAACUUCACAUAGUAGAUCCAACAGUUUGAGAGCUUUACUGAUGUUCCCUCAGCUAUCCAAGCCUUUGUAGUGGUGACUAAUGAAAGUAAGCUAGUUACAGACAGUUAGUCCAUACAAAGAAAGAGGACAAGGUAUAAAUGAACUUAUAUUUUAUUCAGUACAAACGCUACAGUUUGAAGGAGUUCACUGAUCUAAGCAAAGCUACAGCAGUAACAGAGAAAGGCAGUGAACUAGUUUUUAACACUUAAGAGGUAGACAAUUAAAUAUUAAGAUAUUUUCAAGUGAUUAGACAAGUCAAAAUAAGAUAUACAGCACAAAGAGAAGGGCUUUGAAAGUUACUGUUAGGAGAAGUUUGAUUACCAACGGGCUGCUAGCUCAACUGUAGUGACUAUAAAUAAGCUAGCUUCGAACACUUUGUACACAAUGAGUAGACAAAUAAAACUACUGUAUUUUUAACAAGUUGAAAUGCCAUAAACAUCACAAGGUGGAAAAGCUAAAAAGUAAGCUAGCUAUAUUAACUUUUUUUGGAUACAAUUAACUGGAAAAAGAAUAAAUGUAAGAAAAUCAAAACAGGCUUUUCCUUUAAUUUUUAUAUUGUCUGUUUAAAUCAAUUUCAGGGGACAUACUCAUCUGCACUUGCCCCAUGCUGCUUUGAUUUGGUGGCUAUCUUUCACUAUCCCUAUCUGCCAUAUCCCUAUCUCUAAACUGCCGUAGAGAUGCUACUAAAACUGAUUUAUUUCCUAGUACCAUCUGAAAAAUACUGUACUUCUUUCUAACAGCUAAAAAUAUUCAACACUUCAGUGCCUGAAAUUGAAAUCUUGAAUCAUUUCAGCCUCACCAGGAAAAGCCUUAAUGAGGACGUCUUCUCAUGAUGUAGUUAUAACUUGACAGUCCAGAAGACAAAAGAAGAGAUGUUGACAGUCAGAGAGAUAAAAUAAGUUAAUUUCAAUUCUCUAAAAGAUGAUUAAAAGAUUAAAUCAUAAUUGACUGUAAUGUAGCGAGGGCUUCAGUCACAGGGCUGUUGAUUUGUUCCUCAAAGUUUUGGGUGAUGAGGAAAGAAGGAACAAAUAUAAAAAAUGAGUUUGUUGAGUAAAGAGAAAAGUGACAGACAUCUCCUCUGUGACCUUUAUUAUUAUUUUAUAGACCUGGUAAUGAGGCGGAGACUGUUUCUGUUUCUGCUCUCACUAUUUUUGUCUUGAAUUCAUCACUGUCGCAGCAUUGACUUUGGCACGAAGGUGGCAUCUUUUUUUGUUUGUUUGUGUGUGACACCACCUUCUCCUUUACCUCACCUCCCCAUUAUCUUUGCACAGUCAUCCCUUCCCUCUCGACUCUCCUCUUUUGUCUUUCAGUGAACAUUUAUUGCCUUGCUGCAUUUAAAUCUGCCUUUCUCCUCUCGCUCUUCACAUUCGCAGCUUCCCUCUUGCUCUGUUUACUUUCUCUCGCUCUCUUUUUUGACACCAUCCACCAGUUUUCUCUCACUUCUCUUUCAUAUUCCAUCACUCACUGUAAUAGUCUGCUGCUUCCAAUCCUGUCUUUGUGUUUUUUGUUGGACAUCACUACUCUUCCUUAUAUAAAGGCAGGUGCACCGGGGUAGGUUUCUUGUCUCUAGGGGACAGGGUGUUAAUGAUGCUUUAAUAAGUCCUUAGUACACAAGGUUGGAGUAAAAAAAAUGGAGAACAGAAAGAAAGAAAGAGAGAGGGAGGCAUUGGAGGGCUGCCACAGAUGCUGAAUGGGCAACUUUUAAGCAUUUCAGAUAAAAGCAAAGAGAGAUAUUAUAACAUUUUUGUUGACUAAAAAAGCAUAUCAGCGACAUUUCAAAAUGAAACCACUCAAACUUUUACAAAACAACUCACCCAAGCUGCCAAUUUGAGGAAACUCUGCAGAGCUCGCAGAAUAAACCCAGGAUAUUGGAUGGCCUGGCAGAGGCUUUCUGAGGUGCCACUUUAGGAUCACUCUCUCUGAGCAAGUGUCCUCUCUCUAAGGGACAAACUGUGACACAUUUUCACAGACAAAUCCUCUUCCCAACCCUGGCUGAUGCUGUGUGCCGAGAGUUGUAGAAGUUUUAGAGAGCUAUGAAUUGAUCUGUAAUUGGCUCGGCGUGCUUUGCAGUGAAAGCACACCCACUGACUCCUGUAACAUAUGGACACUUUAGCGGGAACACAGAUCAGAGAUGUCAAGAGGUGUAAGUGUAGUGAGCGAAAAGGUACUCCAAAGGCAUUAUCCAAUAAACCUGAAAUGUUGUAUCAUUUCUUUUUAUUUCUUCUCCCAUAUCCUGAGCUGUCAACCCAGCCCUUAACACUGAAACAACUGUCCUUUUGUUUAUUUGUCCGCUGUUGAUGGAGCGGCGGGGAAAGCUGGACAAGCCUAGGGAGUGGAGAAAGCGGAAAAUUACAAAACAAAAGUAAUGUUGUAUUGAAGCUGACUUAAAUCUAGCAAAUGAGACAAUAAACUUAAAAGAAAAUGUGAUUAAAUAUUAACCUUCUAAUUGAUUUCAAUGUGAUUUUUUGCAGUCGGAGCUAUUGCCCCCUGCUGGCCAUAAUAAGAAUGCAGGUUAACUCUUAACAAGGUAUCUAAUGUUUGUUGAAUACAUUUAACAUGGGAAAAGAUUAGGCUGUUAUAAAAUGUAAGGUUUUCUCAUAGACUGUAUAUACUAUGGACCACUUGGUUCCGCCUUCCGCCUGUGUAGGGAUUUGAACGCGGAAAGGCUCUGAGUAAUUCCACGUUUUUUCUCCACUUCCUGAAGCCAACAUUGCACAGUAGCAUUGUACGCACUCCACCACCUGCGCAGUAGCAUUGUACGCAUUCAGCGGGAGAGUCUCUGUGAUGACACUCAGCUCAAACAGUGUAUCCCUUGGGUGAGCUACCAAGUGUCAAUCAUAGAAAACAUGAACCCCCCAAUAACUUAAAAAUGGAGCUGCACAGAAAAAAGAGGACUUGAGCACAAACCAGUCUUACAGUAACUACAUGUUAACAUCGCAGGCAGGGGGGAGAAAAAUUUAUAUUCUGUGUAAUAAAUGUCUAAAGUUUGUCCAUGAAACUGCAGUUCCUCAAACGUCCACUUGAGGCAUGCCAAAAAAAAACAUUCAGACACAUGUUAAAAUACCAAUAAUUAUCACAAUAAUUAACAUGUUUACGGUAUGUUUUGGCCUCUACACCUAUAGUGUAACAGCGUAUACAUUUCAAUCAUGGGUCAAACGAGUUUUAGACAUUAUGGCUCUGAGUGAUAGGUGGAUACUGCUGGCUGCCAACAUAGCUUUAGCUUCUUAGCUGCGUUAGGGUUGUUGUUUGGAUUUUUAAUUAAAAUAUCUAACAAAUAUCGAUGUAUUUUGUGUGUUUUAUAAAACUAAUUCUCAUUCCAAGAAGUCUGUGUUAAAGCAUUUAUCGUAAGUAGAACUCUGAUACUUGUGUAUUGACGUUUUUGCAUGUAACAGAUGCGCUUAGCUCGUCACUCUUGGCAUGUUAGCUCACUCAGUGUUCGUCAUAUAUUUAUAUAUCAAUGCUGUAGGACAGAAAAUAGAUAGAUGUACUUUUUUUUAAUAGAAGUUGUCAGCUUUUUCCUGGAGAAAUAACGGCAGAUGGUAUUGAUGAGAGACAGAUUAUUUCCAGUUACAUUGUACACGUUGGUCAGCUGUCACUCUAUCACUAGAGAUUCGAGCUGGUGAACAGCUACUCCGCUUGUUUGUUGGCAAGUGAAUUAGCCAUGAUUGUGGACUGUAAAACUUUGACAGUUUAGUCUUACUUCCAGUUUUAUCCUUUCAUCCAAAUAUUUUAACUUCUGGCUCCUUGAAUCCAAUAUGGCUGCCUCUAGUGGCUCAAAGUAAAUGCUUUAUUCACUCAUUCAAAAAAGCAAAAGUUUUAUCUCUAAGCUCCCUGAAAAAUAUCACUUCCCAAGCCGCGAAUACCCCAAGAGGGACGAGUUCACACAGACUCUUCCCCUGAACAGAGUAAACACAACCCCAUUUGAAGGAGCCGUAAAUCAGUUAUAUAUCUCUUCCAGGCAGCUUUCUGCAUGAACUCCUCAUCGGUGUAAUGCAUCGUGCUCGUAUUAGCUGGCUGAGAGCAGAAUUAGCAGACAAUUGGGCUUAAUGAAGGCAGCGUGGGUUCCUUUGGGGAAACGCAGCCUUCCAGACUAGUUGGCUGAAAGCUGCAUCAUCUACAGGAAGAAAAUCUCAAGUUACCCCGAGGCUGAAAGGAGCCUGUCUUCUCUGACUCCAGGCAACUUCCCUCUCCUGCCCUUUACUCGACAAAUGAACAAUUGCCUGGUUGAAGAAAAGUGUUGAUGUCUCUUUACGUCUCUUUCAGGUCCGUCAGUUUGAAACUAUAUGAACUCAAGGGGUUAAUAGAAG